GGCCUCGAGGUGAUUUGACAUAUUGAAUUGCAAAUUCAAAGAAGCAGCUUCAAUUCUGCCGGGGCUU
rnacentral:tRNA from 2 species